rnacentral:rRNA from 1 species
UACGGAGGGUGCAAGCGUUGUCCGGAUUUAUUGGGUUUAAAGGGUGCGUAGGCGGCCGAUUAAGUCUGGGGUGAAAGCCCGUUGCUCAACAACGGAACUGCCCUGGAAACUGGUCGGCUUGAGUACAGACGAGGGUGGCGGAAUGGAUGCUGUAGCGGUGAAAUGCAUAGAUAGCAUCCAGAACCCCGAUUGCGAAGGCAGCUGCCUAGACUGUCACUGACGCUGAGGCACGAAAGCGUGGGGAGCGAACAGG